rnacentral:rRNA from 1 species
GGUUAAGUUAAUAAUGGCGCAUGGUGGAUGCCUUGGCACUAGAAGGCGAUGAAGGACGUGACUAACUACGAUAUGCCUCGGUUAGCUGUAAGUAAGCUUACCCGGGGGUUUCCGAAUGGGGCAACCCGAUCUUAAUGAUCAUCAUCUUUUUGAAUUCAUAGAUUAGAUGAAGCAAACGCUGUGAACUGAAACAUCUAAGUAGCAGUAGGAAAGUAAAGAAAUUUCGAUUCCGUCAGUAGCGGCGAGCGAACGCGGAAGAGCCCAAACCUGGAUGCUUGCAUCCAGGGGUUGUAGGACUGAUGUUGAGUUACAAAGGUAUAAGAUAGCAGAAACAGUUGGGAAGCUGUUCCAAAGAGGGUGACAGGCCCGUAUGCGAAAUCUUGUACUCUCUAAUCAGGAUCCUGAGUACGGCCCAGCACGUGAAAUUGGGUCGGAAUCUGGGAGGACCAUCUCCCAAGGCUAAAUACUAACUAGUGACCGAUAGCGAACAAGUACCGUGAGGGAAAGGUGAAAAGAACCCCGGAAGGGGAGUGAAAUAGUUCUUGAAACCGUGUGCUUACAAGAAGUUCGAGGCCGUUAAUGGCUGAGAGCGUGCUUUUUGUAGAAUGAACCGGAGAGUUACGAUUGCGUGCAAGGUUAAGGUGCAAAGACUGGAGCCGUAGCGAAAGCGAGUCUUAAUAGGGCGAAUCAGUACGUAGUUGUAGACCCGAAACCGAGUGACCUAUCCAUGGUCAGGUUGAAGGUGGGGUAAUACCUACUGGAGGACCGAACAAGUGGGUGUUAAAAAACCCUUUGAUGAACUGUGGAUAGCGGUGAAAUUCCAAUCGAACUCGGAGAUAGCUGGUUCUAUCCGAAAUACAUUUAGGUGUAGCCUUGCAAUUAGCUUACUGGAGGUAGAGCACUAUUUGGUCUAGGGGCCCUUCAAGGGUUACCAAAAUCAGAUAAACUCCGAAUGCCAGCUAAGUAUGUGCAGGAGUCAGACGGUGAGUGAUAAGAUCCAUCGUCAAAAKGGGAACAGCCCAGAUCACCAGUUAAGGUCCCUAAAUAUAUGCUAAGUGGAAAACGUUGUGAAGGUGCAUAGACAACUAGGAGGUUGGCUCAGAAGCAGCCACCCUUUAAAGAGUGCGUAAUAGCUCACUAGUCAAGUGCUCUUGCGCGGAUAAUGUACCGGGGCUAAGCAUAUUACCGAAACUGUGGAUGCGUAAGCAUGGUAGGAUAGCGUAAUUAACGCGAUGAAGGAUGACCGUAAGGACAUGUUGGAGCGUUAACUAGUGAGAAUUCCGGUAUGAGUAGCGAAAGAUAGGUGAGAAUCCUAUCCACCGAAUGAGUAAGGUUUCCCCCGGAAGGCUCGUCCGCGGGGGGUUAGUCGGGACCUAAGGCGAGGCUGAAAAGCGUAGUCGAUGGACAACAGGUUGAUAUUCCUGU